rnacentral:rRNA from 1 species
GUCUUUUUGAUUAUAAUUUAAAGUCUAACCUGCCCAAUGAGGAGUUGAAUGGCCGCGGUAAUUUGACCGUGCAAAGGUAGCAUAAUCAUUAGUUUUUUAAUUGAAAGCUGGAAUGAAUGGUUGGACGAGAAAAUAACUGUCUCAAUUUAAUUGUAUAUAGAAUUUUAUCUGUAAGUAAAAAAGCUUACAUAUUUUUAAAAGACGAGAAGACCCUAUAGAGUUUUAUAUUUUACUUUAUAAAUUAAUUUUAGUAUAUUUAUAUUUUUUAUAUAAGUAAAAUAUUUUGCUGGGGCAGUAGAAAAAUUUAAUAAACUUUUUUUUUAAUACUACAUUUAUUUAUGAUUUGAUGAUCCAUUAUUUAUGAUUAAAAGAUUAAAUUACCUUAGGGAUAACAGCGUAAUUUUUUUUUAGAGUUCUUAUCGAAAAAAGAGUUUGCGACCUCGAUGUUGGAUUAAAAUUAACUUUUGGUGUAGGGGCUAAAAGGUUAGGUCUGUUCGACCUUUAAAAUUUUACAUGAUCUGAGU